GUGAUGACAUUCAGCUUGGCUGUUGGGUGUAGUACGGGAAAGAGCUGAACUUCGUUUCUGCCUCUGGCUCUCCCACUUACUGGCUUUGGGACCUUGAGCAAGUUCCCUAACAAUUUUGCUUUCCUUGUCUGCAAAAAUGGAAUAAUUUUCCAGCCCUCCACACACAUGAGAAUAAGCUUAUAGUUCCUUAAGGCCAGGAACCCAGAAGGUAUGCAGGUACAGUAUAUCAGAAGUAUGAGCCGAUCUUUUUCCAGUCCAUUGGAAAUCCGUUUAUUUUUAGAUGCCUGGAUGGGGUACUCAUUGAUGGGAAUGACAAAGGGAUAUCAAAAGUUGUGUACAGAUCUUGCAAUGGGAGGGAUCGACUCGGCCCUUUAAAAAUGAGUGAUAGUACAUGGCUAACGUCAGAAAUUCAUAACCCUCUGGCUGUGGGACAGUAUGUCAACAAUUGU
rnacentral:sRNA from 1 species